UACGUAGGGUCCGAGCGUUGUCCGGAAUUACUGGGCGUAAAGAGCUCGUAGGUGGUUUGUCGCGUUGUUCGUGAAAACUCACAGCUCAACUGUGGGCGUGCGGGCGAUACGGGCAGACUGGAGUACUGCAGGGGAGACUGGAAUUCCUGGUGUAGCGGUAAAAUGCGUGGAUCUCAGGAGGAACACCAAUGGCGAAGGCAGCUUCUUGGCUCAUUCCUGACGUUGAGGCACGAAAGCGUGGGGAGCAAACAGG
rnacentral:rRNA from 1 species